rnacentral:rRNA from 1 species
AGUGAACGCUGGCGGUAGGCCUAACACAUGCAAGUCGAACGGCAGCACAGUAAGAGCUUGCUCUUACGGGUGGCGAGUGGCGGACGGGUGAGGAAUACAUCGGAAUCUACUUUUUCGUAGGGGAUAACGUAGGGAAACUUACGCUAAUACCGCAUGCGACCUACGGGUGAAAGCAGGGGAUCUUCGGACCUUGCGCGAUUGAAUGAGCCGAUGUCGGAUUAGCUAGUUGGCGGGGUAAAGGCCCACCAAGGCGACGAUCCGUAGCUGGUCUGAGAGGAUGAUCAGCCACACUGGAACUGAGACACGGUCCAGACUCCUACGGGAGGCAGCAGUGGGGAAUAUUGGACAAUGGGCGCAAGCCUGAUCCAGCCAUACCGCGUGGGUGAAGAAGGCCUUCGGGUUGUAAAGCCCUUUUGUUGGGAAAGAAAAGCAGCAGGUUAAUACCCCGCUGUUCUGACGGUACCCAAAGAAUAAGCACCGGCUAACUUCGUG